AGUGCAUGGAUGCCCCCAGGCUUGACCUCUGUGUUUCCCUGCGGUGCAGUCCUGCAGACCCUGUGUGAAAUAGUGCAGUUGAGGAGCCCCCAAGAAACACAGAAUUCAGGAGACCUAGGCAAGCUAAGACACGAAGAGAACGGCCAGGACCCACUCUCCUCCCUAAAGGCCAAUGUAAAGCUACAAUCCAGAGACACUGAACUCUGAGCCUGAUGAUUUAACAUGCUGGGAAUAAAGAGACCAGAAGGAGAAAACACCGCUUCCAGUGUCAGUGUGGAGAGGAAAUCCAGUGAGGAGUUGUGAUCUUAAACCAAGGACACUUCAGGUCAAGAGAAGGAGAGUAGAUGAGUGAGGAAGCUUCCAGACCAUGGUCCACGGGAUCUGAAUGGAUGGGAGUGGACAGAGGCAAGUUUGCUUCCUGCGGGAUUCAGAGAAGGUGUCUGUGCGGAUGUGGAGCUUUGAUCAGGGCUGGAAUUUAUGCUGUAGGUUUGAGUUUAAAUAAGAAAAUUAGAGAAUAGACAAGAUGGAAGAUAGAAUAACAGAACUGGUUUGACAUAUUUCUCAAAUCCAUUCCCCAAAACCUGGGUUAUCUACUGUGCUCUCCAGCUGCCUCCUGCCCUGGGACCCUUGCCUGGAAGUUACCUCUAUGAUUCCCCCAAACCCAGUGCUGCUUGACCUUGGGUGUCAGCAACUUAUGACAGAAGGGACCCCUUGGUUCCUGAGAAAGAGAGGCUUGGAGACCACCAGACAUAAAGUGUCAGAAGAGCUUGGCUCCUCACAGGACACUGUGUGGCCCAUUGCAGGGUAUGACUGCGGUGACGCAGGUGGUUGUUUAGAGGGUCUUAUAAAAUCUUAAACUAAACAAUCCCCUUAUAGCAUGCUUGCUUUAUUUUACAAUUUAAAAAGGGAUUUUAAAAAGACUAGAUCUGAAUGUGUUUAUCGUUUUCAAAUCAGUUGACAGAGCAGAGUCACACGCUAAAGAAAACCCACACUCUAAAUAUGUGCACGGGAUGUAAAGUUGCCGCAUGGAUGAAUUAGCAGGUGCUGUGAUGUUCUGAAGCUUCUGUCGGGGCUCUUGCAGGAAAUGCUCACCCGAGCCCUCCGUGGCCCCCACAGCUUCCCGGCAGGCCCCGAAGGUUUCUGCACAGGAAAGCGAUGACUCUGCAAGGCUGUGUCUUGGCUGCUGGCGCAGAGAUACAGGGCUGAGUCUUCUGGCUGCAGGGCGCGUAGGUGAAGGUGUAAGUGAGAGCUGUCUGGGCAUUCAGGACCCCUCUCAGCAACAGACCACUCCCAUUCAAGGAAUCUCCUUCUCCCCUCUGGGAUCACACAUGACAGCUCCACUCAAAACGUCCCUUCCCUCAAUGUCUAAGCACAGUAGAGCCCUUUUUGCCCAGUUCUGUGGAGGGAGAAUGACUGCAUGACCACGGAUGCAGUGUGGACCAGCCCCCAUCAUUCAAGGGUAUGACUGUGAUGCCAACCAGCAACCAGGCACUGGGGAGGGGGCUGCAGGACAUGACAGGGAUGAGCUACCCUCUGUCCCUGAAGUGGAGGGCAUGGGACUUGGCUGGGCUUACGGCUAACCUACAAAGGAUGCUGAAAAGGAACAAUGCAAGGUGUGGGGAGCACGGGAAAGGGGAAUCAGCUUGAAGCUGACAUAAUAAAUAAACACAAAAGAUCCUAAAUUGUGUAUGCAGAGGGUGGCAGACCCGAAGGCUGAGAAGAGAACAAGUUCUGGAAGGCUGAAGACAAGGGCAGAGAUUUCAGAAGAGCCAGGGCAUUCAGACCCAGUUACAGUGGAGUGAUGUGGUGAAUACACUGUGAUUCCCACUAAGACCCUGGGAAGGCCAUGCACUAGCAAUGAUGACCACGUGCUGGGGCUCCCUAAGAGGGAGGGCGAAGCUGAAAUAGACCCUAACAAGUCCUACAUUUAACCCUCCCAGAAUAAAACCCAACACUCUUUCCAAGAGAUAACAUAAUCCAGAGCCUCAAGUGUAUAUCGUCCGCAAUGCUUUACAUAAACCCUUUCUUUCAUGGAGGAUAUUUAGAAGUCUCCUAAUCCUUCAGACCACCCCAAAAUCUAUCUCCUUUCUGAUUCAUACUACUUUCAGUGUUCCUGUACCAAAAUAUCAGUUUCAUCAUGUUGUUUCACUUGGAGUAGGACCAGUGGCUCACCACUACCUAGGGAUUUGUUUCCAAAGUCCUUUGCAUGUCUCCCAAUAUCCCCUGUCAUCAAGCUAUCACUUGCUGUUGAGGAGAGUUCAAGAAGACGUUCAUCUGAAUUGGGAGAGACUCUCGCUGGUCACCCUUCUUGAAGAGAAGGAGUCUACAAGGCACAAGGCUGCCUCCACCGGCUUCUCCUCAACACUUUCCAGUUUACCUAUUGCCAUGGAAUUUCAUGCCCCUCCAAAUAUUUCUCUGUUAAAUAAAGUACUCACUGAUAAUCCAAA